rnacentral:rRNA from 1 species
AGUGAACGCUGGCGGUAGGCCUAACACAUGCAAGUCGAACGGCAGCACAGUAAGAGCUUGCUCUUACGGGUGGCGAGUGGCGGACGGGUGAGGAAUACAUCGGAAUCUACUUUUUCGUGGGGGAUAACGUAGGGAAACUUACGCUAAUACCGCAUACGACCUACGGGUGAAAGCAGGGGAUCUUCGGACCUUGCGCGAUUGAAUGCGCCGAUGUCGGAUUAGCUAGUUGGCGGGGUAAAGGCCCACCAAGGCGACGAUCCGUAGCUGGUCUGAGAGGAUGAUCAGCCACACUGGAGCUGGAACACGGUCCAGACUCCUACGGGAGGCAGCAGUGGGGAAUAUUGGACAAUAGGCGCAAGCCUGAUCCAGCCAUAGCGCGUGGGUGAAGAAGGCCUUCGGGUUGUAAAGACCUUUUGUUGGGAAAGAAAAGCAGCAGGUUAAUACCCCGCUGUUCUGACGGUACCCAAAGAAUAAGCACCGGCUAACUUCGUG